CGGGGGCGGCGUGGAUUAGGCAUGCAAGUCUUACGGGCCGCAAGGCCAGUGGCGCAAGGGUGAGUAAGGCGACGGUAACCAACCCCAGGACUGGGUAUAGCCGCGGGAAACUGCGGGUAAUCCCCAGCGACGUCGCGGGGGGGCAUCCCCCUGCGAUCAAAGCUCCGGCGUCGUGGGACGGGCCGUCGUGGUAUUAGGUAGUUGGCGGGGUAACGGCCCACCAAGCCGGCGAUGCCUACCGGGCGUGCGAGCGUGGCCCGGCACACUGGGACUGAGACACUGCCCAGACUCCUACGGGAGGCUGCAGUCGAGAAUCUUCGGCAAUGGGCGCAAGCCUGACCGAGCGACGCCGCGUGGAGGACGAAGGCCUUCGGGUUGUAAACUCCUGUCGAGGGGGAAGAAGGCCGGGAGACCGGCUUGACUGAUCCCUGGAGGAAGCACGGGCUAAGUUCGUGCCAGCAGCCGCGGUAAGACGAACCGUGCGAACGUUAUUCGGAAUCACUGGGCUUAAAGCGCGUGUAGGCGGGACGGCACGUCGGUCGCUGAAAGCCCCCGGCUCAACCGGGGAACGGGCGCCGAUACGACCGCCCUGGAGGGACGUAGGGGGACCUGGAACUUCCGGUGGAGCGGUGAAAUGCGUUGAGAUCGGAAGGAACGCCCGUGGCGAAAGCGAGGUCCUGGACGUCUGCUGACGCUGAGACGCGAAAGCCAGGGGAGCGAACGGGAUUAGAUACCCCGGUAGUCCUGGCCGUAAACGAUGGGCACUGGGUAGGGGGCUCGCCGAUGGGCUCCCUGCCGUAGGGAAACCGUGAAGUGCCCCGCCUGGGGAGUAUUGUC
rnacentral:rRNA from 1 species